rnacentral:rRNA from 1 species
GAUGAACGCUGGCGGCGUGCUUAACACAUGCAAGUCGAACGAUGAAGCUCAGCUUGCUGGGUGGAUUAGUGGCGAACGGGUGAGUAACACGUGAGUAACCUGCCCUUAACUCUGGGAUAAGCCUGGGAAACUAGGUCUAAUACCGGAUAGGAGCGCCUACCGCAUGGUGGGUGUUGGAAAGAUUUAUCGGUUUUGGAUGGACUCGCGGCCUAUCAGCUUGUUGGUGAGGUAAUGGCUCACCAAGGCGACGACGGGUUGCCGGCCUGAGAGGGUGACCGGCCACACUGGGACUGAGACACGGCCCAGACUCCUACGGGAGGCAGCAGUGGGGAAUAUUGCACAAUGGGCGAAAGCCUGAUGCAGCGACGCCGCGUGAGGGAUGACGGCCUUCGGGUUGUAAACCUCUUUCAGUAGGGAAGAAGCGAAAGUGACGGUACCUGCAGAAGAAGCACCGGCUAACUACGUG